rnacentral:tRNA from 1 species
CCUGAGGUGGCUCAGAGGUUAAAGCAUCUGCCUCCAAUGCGGGAGACCUGGGUUCGAUCCCUGGGUCGGGA